GGCUACUGACUUGUCUACACUCAAAACUCAAGAACUGUUCCUCCCAGAGUAUGAAGUCACUCAUCUCUACUGACCUGCUUCCCUCCAGGAGUAGACAUGUUAGAAGCCCUCCCACAGGCCGUUUGCCUAAGGAAACUACUGUUCUUUGGAGGCAUUGACUAUCCAGAUGACAGUGUCCCCACUGUAUGUCCCACAAAUGUGCUGGCAACCAGUGCUUGAUGCCACAGGAGUCGCAAAGCAGCACAACCCAAGGACGUGCUUCCCAAAGCUGCAGUCAUCACAAAAGCCAGGACAGAGCUCCAGAAGGUGCUGCACAAGAACACAAGGUCAAGGCUGGCCAGUUCCCACACGUCUGCCAUCACAGCUACUCUGCAGCUGAGACUGCGGGAUCUAAUCUCACUGUACAGCUCUGGCUUCCUGACUGGACUGGAAUUCUCCAUGUAGCCUAGGCUAGCCUUCACCUCACAGAAAUCUGCAAGCCUGCCAGGAUGCAGUGCAUGCCAUCACUCCUGACAAAAUAUUUUUAAAAAGAGAUUGGUGAAUGAAUGUACAUUUAUGUAUAAAUAUUAUCUAUAUUGAAUACCUUUUUUGUGUGUCUCUUGAACUAAACUAAACUUAACCUGCAAAAGUCUUGUCCUAGCUGGUUUUGACAAGACUACUUCUUAUAAUUGUUGGUGUCUUUGCUGGAGCUCCCUGUUCAGUUGGUUCAAGGGCGGGUUUAGUGCCCCAUCUUAAACACUAGGUCUGCAGUUUCUACAGUAACUGUGGAGCUGCACGCACUCACUGAGCUCCGGAAGUGUGCGGGAUGUGACCAGUGGGAUGCAGGAGCUAAACUUUUAAUCUUGUUAAGUUUUAAUUUAUUUAAAUUUAAAUUUUAUUCAGUCCAUAAUUGCGCUUGUAAUAAUUUGUAUAUGUGAAUCUCCUCUUCAGCCAUAGGUAUUGUGAAACCUUAAAUGUAAUUCAACUCUACAUGAUGGUUUGCUAUGUCGGCUGAGAUUAUUAUAAGCAUAAAACUACCAAAUCCGGAACACCUGUACAAACAUAAAAAAAGCUCAAUUUGUAUACAGAUUAUUUAUUGAAAUGUUGACAUUUUAAAUAUACUUAGUAUACAAGGCAUAUUAAAAUUAAUUUUACUUCUCUA